rnacentral:ncRNA from 1 species
AUCAAGACGUUGAAGAGAAGAGUAAAAAGUCAUUCAAUCAGUACAGAGACAUUUCGGUUGGUGAGAGAAAUGAGAGAGAAGCUUUUGAACAUGGCCUUGGAGUCAUCGCAUCGAGAUCUAAGUAUUUAGGUUAAGGUUGCGACGGGUGUGCCCGUUAUAGCAUUGCGAGUAUGAUGGUACUCAAUAAGGUCUUUUUAGUGAUAAAAAGAUGAAUUAAGGUGGUAACACGUGAGUUAUGCUCUCGUCCUUUAU